CGCUGGCGGCGUGCCUAAUACAUGCAAGUCGAACGGUCUUUUCUAUGGAAGCUUGCUUCCACUGAGAAGAUAGUGGCGAACGGGUGAGUAACACGUGGGUAACCUGCCCAUAAGAGGGGGAUAACAUCCGGAAACGGGUGCUAAUACCGCAUAGUUUUCUUGAUCGCAUGAUCGGGAAAGGAAAGACGGCCUUUGUGCUGUCGCUUAUGGAUGGACCCGCGGCGUAUUAGUUAGUUGGUGAGGUAACGGCUCACCAAGACGAUGAUACGUAGCCGACCUGAGAGGGUGAUCGGCCACAUUGGGACUGAGACACGGCCCAAACUCCUACGGGAGGCAGCAGUAGGGAAUCUUCCGCAAUGGACGAAAGUCUGACGGAGCAACGCCGCGUGAGUGAAGAAAGGUUUUCGGAUCGUAAAACUCUGUUGUCAGAGAAGAACAAGUUGGAGAGUAACUGCUCCAGCCUUGACGGUAUCUGACCAGAAAGCCACGGCUAACUACGUGCCAGCCGCUGC
rnacentral:rRNA from 1 species